rnacentral:rRNA from 1 species
UAGAUGCGAGAGUAGAGCAUAUCAAUAAGCGGAGGAAAAGAAACUAACAAGGAUUCCCCUAGUAACGGCGAGUGAAGCGGGAAGAGCUCAAAUUUGAAAUCUUAAAGGGUUCUACCUUGACGAAUUGUAGUUUAUAGAAGUGUUUUCUGUUAGUGGAGUUUGGUAAAAGUUCUUUGGAAUAGGACAUCAUAGAGGGUGAGAAUCCCGUAUUUGGUCCAUUAUUCCCUAGCUGUGUGAUACACUUUCAAAGAGUCGGAUUGUUUGGGAAUGCAGUCCAAAAUGGGUGGUAAAUUUUCAUCUAAAGCUAAAUAUUGGCGAGAGACCGAUAGCGAACAAGUACCGUGAGGGAAAGAUGAAAAGAACUUUGAAAAGAGAGUUAAACAGUACGUGAAAUUGUCAAAAGGGAAGCGUUUGACACCAGUGUUGUUUUUCCGAAAAUCAAUUACGAAUGUUUUAUUUUUGAGGAGUUAUGACUUCAUCGGCUUGCUUCUCUCUUUAUGAAACUUUCUUAAUGCACUUUUCGGUUAACAAGUCAACAUCAAUUUCCUUUGUUGUAAAAGGGUAUGAGGAAGGUGGCUUUCUUUUCGGAGAAAGUGUUUAUAGCCUUGUGCCUCUGCAAUCGGAGAGAUUGAGGUCUGCAGCGUAGAUCCUUCGGGGUUAGAUACGUUUGUGCUAAGUUAUAGCUUUUCAUAGACAACUUGUUGACUAUGUUUAGUCUUGUAGCUUACUCGCUGACGCUAUUUUACCUACGCUUAGGAUGUUGACACACGCGCGUGCUCG